rnacentral:lncRNA from 1 species
AUUAAUAUAAAUAUCUUUUGUUUAUUUAUGUAUUUAGUUCUUCAAAUGUCGACGCCAUUUGCUAAAAAUCUUGCGUGCAUCACGGAAGACAACAAUAUAUAUACCUUAGUGAAGCAGCAAGUACAAAUUAUGCACCAGCAAAUUGCCAGAUCUUAUGAAAUAAUAGAGACCCUAAGAAGACAGAUAAGCAACUCAUAAAUUAUAUAAAAUAACGGUUUUUCGGUGGCGAAAAAUGAUGGUGGAUGUCUGGGGAUCCAUGACUUGGUGUAUAGUCAAUAAUCACAAUUGAAUCAUUUUGAUCAUUGUUUGUAUAUUUCUCCACUUCAUUAACCUUAGCUGGAGUACUUGCAUAAGUUUGUAUUGAUUCAAUUUCUCUUCUUCCAAUUCCUCCAGCUAAUAAGUAUAACAAAUAAAUAUAUAUAAAAAAACAGGCAUCAGUUUGAUAUAUUUGUGAGAUGAAAUAUAUAUAAAACAACGAAAGAGAGGGGCCGGAAUAAAAUUACCUUGUGUCACUAUUAUUAUGAAGCACACCAAAAAGAUGGUCUUCAAAAGAAGAAGAUUCGUAGUUGCAACAGCCUUAACCAUGACUACUAUACUACACUAUCAAAAUAUUUCUGAUGAAAGAUAUGGUAUUAAUUU